CCUUUUUUUUUUUUUUUUCCAGGCAGAACAACUCCUGGCAAGAGCUGUCAGUGUAUGACUUAACUUUAUGCCUGGUGGGAACCCAACUUGCAUAGAACAAAGUCCAUUAAGUGUGCAAUUGCAUGUUGACCUCUACUUGCUAUUCAUUGUAUCUUUAGGAUUUUAAUAAUGGUCUGCUCUUAAGGAUGAGUUGGAGUUAUUUGUCCCUUGCUCCCUCAUAAAUGCUGUUGCAGUAACAGAUUACCAGGAUUUUUUCCUCAUGUUGGAGAGCUACUUAGAUUCAAGUAUUUUAGGGAAGCUCUGAGUUUACUAAAGAACACAUAUGCAAAUGAACACUGGGAAGAAGGGAAUGAUAACAGUCUGGAGCCGUGUCUUCAACACUGUGAUUGACAGACUCAACAGGCACAUCUGGUGCAGGUAUGCUCUCACAGUGGAACAAACUGAGUGUGAACCCGCCUUUUGCCCACAUGGUGAAGGUGGUGGUGCACACCUCUUCUCGUGCUGCCUGGAGUGGACAGCGGAGGAAGAGCCAAGACUCCAGGUGAUCUGGACGUAA
rnacentral:lncRNA from 1 species